GAUGAACGCUGGCGGCGUGCUUAACACAUGCAAGUCGAACGGGAAAUGCUUUAUUGAAACUUCGGUGGAUUUAAUUUAUUUCUAGUGGCGGACGGGUGAGUAACGCGUGGGUAACCUGCCUUAUACUGGGGGAUAACAGCCAGAAAUGGCUGCUAAUACCGCAUAAGCGCACAGAACCGCAUGGUUCGGUGUGAAAAACUCCGGUGGUAUAAGAUGGACCCGCGUUGGAUUAGCUAGUUGGCAGGGCAGCGGCCUACCAAGGCAACGAUCCAUAGCCGGCCUGAGAGGGUGAACGGCCACAUUGGGACUGAGACACGGCCCAGACUCCUACGGGAGGCAGCAGUGGGGAAUAUUGCACAAUGGGGGAAACCCUGAUGCAGCGACGCCGCGUGAAGGAAGAAGUAUCUCGGUAUGUAAACUUCUAUCAGCAGGGAAGAUAAUGACGG
rnacentral:rRNA from 1 species